UUUGCAGAUGUGUUUUUGAAUGAUGAUUAUGGACAGACUGUGAUUUAUAAACUAAGAUUAUCUGCUCUAGCAAGAUCCGAAAUGCGUGCUGGUGACAAGCUUGUUGAUGUAGAAGUAGUAAACAUUUUUGCAGAAAAUUCUAAACAAAAUGAGAUGACUGUAUCUGAGGCAAUUAAUAAAAGAAUUUCAAACAACUCUGCUGACUUUGCAAGCUAUACUAAGCAAGAUCGGUGUGAGUUUUAUGGUUGUGUGAAGAAUAAUGAUGACUGCAGCGAUGGUUUUCUGUGCCAAUGCAAAGAGGGG